rnacentral:rRNA from 1 species
AGAGUUUGAUCCUGGCUCAGGAUGAACGCUGGCGGCGUGCCUAAUACAUGCAAGUCGAGCGAACAGACGAGGAGCUUGCUCCUUUGACGUUAGCGGCGGACGGGUGAGUAACACGUAGGUAACCUACCUAUAAGACUGGGAUAACUUCGGGAAACCGGAGCUAAUACCGGAUAAUAUAUUGAACCGCAUGGUUCAAUAGUGAAAGACGGUUUUGCUGUCACUUAUAGAUGGAUCCGCGCCGCAUUAGCUAGUUGGUAAGGUAACGGCUUACCAAGGCAACGAUGCGUAGCCGACCUGAGAGGGUGAUCGGCCACACUGGAACUGAGACACGGUCCAGACUCCUACGGGAGGCAGCAGUAGGGAAUCUUCCGCAAUGGGCGAAAGCCUGACGGAGCAACGCCGCGUGAGUGAUGAAGGUCUUCGGAUCGUAAAACUCUGUUAUUAGGGAAGAACAAAUGUGUAAGUAACUAUGCACGUCUUGACGGUACCUAAUCAGAAAGCCACGGCUAACUACGUGCCAGCAGCCGCGGUAAUACGUAGGUGGCAAGCGUUAUCCGGAAUUAUUGGGCGUAAAGCGCGCGUAGGCGGUUUUUUAAGUCUGAUGUGAAAGCCCACGGCUCAACCGUGGAGGGUCAUUGGAAACUGGAAAACUUGAGUGCAGAAGAGGAAAGUGGAAUUCCAUGUGUAGCGGUGAAAUGCGCAGAGAUAUGGAGGAACACCAGUGGCGAAGGCGACUUUCUGGUCUGUAACUGACGCUGAUGUGCGAAAGCGUGGGGAUCAAACAGGAUUAGAUACCCUGGUAGUCCACGCCGUAAACGAUGAGUGCUAAGUGUUAGGGGGUUUCCGCCCCUUAGUGCUGCAGCUAACGCAUUAAGCACUCCGCCUGGGGAGUACGACCGCAAGGUUGAAACUCAAAGGAAUUGACGGGGGCCCGCACAAGCGGUGGAGCAUGUGGUUUAAUUCGAAGCAACGCGAAGAACCUUACCAGGUCUUGACAUCCCUCUGACCGCUCUAGAGAUAGAGUUUUCCUUCGGGACAGAGGUGACAGGUGGUGCAUGGUUGUCGUCAGCUCGUGUCGUGAGAUGUUGGGUUAAGUCCC